CGCUAUCACUCCUACGGGAGGCAGCAGGUAGGGAAUCUUCCACAAUGGGCGCAAGCCUGAUGGAGACAACACCGCGUGAGUGAAGAAGGGUUUCGGCUCGUAAAGCUCUGUUGUUAAAGAAGAACACGUAUGAGAGUAACUGUUCAUACGUUGACGGUAUUUAACCAGAAAGUCACGGCUAACUACGUGCCAGCAGCCGCGGUAAUACGUAGGUGGCAAGCGUUAUCCGGAUUUAUUGGGCGUAAAGAGAGUGCAGGCGGUUUUCUAAGUCUGAUGUGAAAGCCUUCGGCUUAACCGGAGAAGUGCAUCGGAAACUGGAUAACUUGAGUGCAGAAGAGGGUAGUGGAACUCCAUGUGUAGCGGUGGAAUGCGUAGAUAUAUGGAAGAACACCAGUGGCGAAGGCGGCUACCUGGUCUGCAACUGACGCUGAGACUCGAAAGCAUGGGUAGCGAACAGGAUUAGAUACCCUGGUAG
rnacentral:rRNA from 1 species